GACGAACGCUGGCGGCGUGCUUAACACAUGCAAGUCGAACGGUAAGGCCCUUUCGGGGGUACACGAGUGGCGAACGGGUGAGUAACACGUGGGUGAUCUGCCCUGCACUUUGGGAUAAGCCUGGGAAACUGGGUCUAAUACCGAAUAGGACUAUGCCCUGCAUGGGGUGUGGUGGAAAGCUUUUGCGGUGUGGGAUGGGCCCGCGGCCUAUCAGCUUGUUGGUGGGGUGAUGGCCUACCAAGGCGACGACGGGUAGCCGGCCUGAGAGGGUGUCCGGCCACACUGGGACUGAGAUACGGCCCAGACUCCUACGGGAGGCAGCAGUGGGGAAUAUUGCACAAUGGGCGCAAGCCUGAUGCAGCGACGCCGCGUGGGGGAUGACGGCCUUCGGGUUGUAAACCUCUUUCAGCACAGACGAAGCGCAAGUGACGGUAUGUGCAGAAGAAGGACCGGCCAACUACGUGCCAGCCGCCGCGGUAA
rnacentral:rRNA from 1 species